GACGAACGCUGGCGGCGUGCCUAAUACAUGCAAGUCGAGCGGACGGACGGGAGCUUUCUCCCGGGCCGGCGGCGGCGGCGGGGGAGGUAACACUGGGUAAACCUGCCUGUAAGACGGGGAUAACUCAGGGAAACCGGGCCUAUAACCGGUAAACUCUUUCCCUCACAGGUGGGGAAUCGAAAAGAUGGCAGGUCGGGGUUAGUUACAGAUGGGCUCGGGGCGCUUGAGGGGGUGGGGGGGGCAACGGCUUACCAAGGCGGCGAGGCGGAGCCGGCCUGAGGGGGUGAUCGGCCGCACUGGGACGGGGACACGGCCCAGGCUCCUGCGGGAGGCAGCAGUAGGGCAUCUGCCGCAAUGGACGAGAGUCUGACGGAGCAACGCCGAGUGAGUGAUGAAGGUUUUCGGAUCGGAAAACUCUGUUGUCAGGGAAGAACAAGUUCCGGAGUAGCUGCCGGUACCUUGACGGUACCUGGCCAGAAAGCCACGGCUAACUACGUG
rnacentral:rRNA from 1 species